rnacentral:lncRNA from 1 species
CAAAUCCGUUUAAAUAUAAAGUGAACAUUCUUCUAUCCACAUAUAAUUAAGCGAAAUGAGAGUGAAUUUAACUAAAGUUUGUGCAUAUGCAUUUGCACUCCUUUUGACACAAGUGACAACAAAAUUAGGAAACAAAGCAAAUGAAUUGCAACAGUCAACAAUAAUUCAGCCAAAAUAAGAAUUGGUCAUGGUUUGAAACCCAAAGAUCUUUAAUAACAUUAACUGAGUCUCCAUCCAAGUUAAUGUUUUAAAAACUAAGGUCCAAUAUGAAUUGGAAAGAGAUACGAGCCUAUAGAGCCUUUGUAGUGUCCACGUUCAAUAAAAUCACAAAUUUCCUAGUGGCAACAACAAGGACAAAAACCUUCUGAAGAUAUGAUGAUAGGUACCAAUUCUCCAUUUACAGAACUAGAAGAAACCUUAGAGGAAGUGAAUCUUCCCAAUAUUUUAUGAAGUGGUAGGCAUACAUACACUAAAAAAGUCCUGUUGAUUGGACACCAAACCUUUUUGUCUCUUUGGUUCGAAGUAGAAAAGUUGCGCGUUCCAUAUUCCAAACUCUUGGUGUAUCAUCUAAGCCACGUAAAUAAGGUAUGCAUUGGAGAGCUUGUGGGGUCCAAAUUUUGUAGCGAUCUUGAAGAGACAACCAAUUAUCUUCCCAAACCUUGAUAGAAUGAUUUGUUGCAAUCUCCUAUAGAUGGUGAUAAGGAUCUCAAGAGCACGAAGAUAAUCCAUAUUUUAAUAAAUUAAGAUGAAUUUUUUUAUAUUUUAAUUUGGUUUGUAAUAAUUCUUAGUUUGCUUUGAUUUGGAACUGUAAUAGUUUUAACAUAGAUUUUUAGUUUAUGUUAUGUAUAAGUGAAGAUACUUGACCUCCUUGAGCUUAUUUAAAAAAAAUAAUGUAAAUCCAAUAUGGGCCUAGAGAAUGGUGUCAAUUAUGAUCCAUUUGAGUUUAGAGAUAGGUAAAUAUGCAUUUGUAACUUCAUUGAGAUAAAUAUGAAAUGAAUUAUUUUCUAAUGAGAAUUGUGACUGAGUUAGAUCUCCUUUUUAAGUUCUUAGAUUAGAACUUGCUUGAAUUUUAUCAGCGACUUCCUUACCAUUGUGGCGAUUCCAUAUUGACUUAUCAUUCGUCAUUGAUUGUGGCGACUUCUUCAUCUUUUCAACAUGAUUCAUAUUUAUUUCUUUAUCUUUCCUUUUAUUUUAUCACUUUAUUUGAAGAAAUCAUUUGAUUAAAUCUUUAAUCUCAUGUGGCAGCAUUCACUCACUAGAGUGAGACAUAUGAUGGAGGUAGGAGCUUCCAAAAUUUAUCUGCUUUUAACUUUGCUAUACUAAGAUAACAAGAUUGGAGGUUGAUGUCAUGUCGAAAUAAUAUAAUUUAUCGUUUCUUUAAAGCUAAAUAUCUAGCUACGUUUGGAGAAGCCGUUGGAAUGUGAAGUUUGUUGUUCAAGCUGGUCACAUGUGGUACAUUUGUUUUGGUUCUAAUAUCCCUAUUUGGAACAAGAAAAUUGUUAUUCGACGUUUGCGCAUACGUACUCCCUUAAGUUAAGAACCUUAUUUGACGCAUUUGCAAGUUGUGUUUUCCCAAUCACGUUAAACUACAAGACAAAGUUGUGAAUUGUCCUAAUGGCUAUAUUGAACAACAAUAUUUGACAAAAAUGUAAUUUCUCUAACACAUAUAUGCAUACUACUAGCCCAUAUAUGGAUAUUCGUAGUCCAAAAACUGAACCGCAUUAUAUCAUAUUCAUAGUUUCAUUCGGCUCUUGAAAACUACUUUCAAAAUAAGUUGAUAGUAGUUUCGAACCGGUUUGAAACUGAUUUAUAAAUAUAAACCACUUUAAUAUUUUGAACAAAUUUUUAGUUAAAAUCAAUUUCAAAUUAGUUAUUCGAAAAGAAUUUUAAAAUUCUUUUGAUAAAAAAAUAUAGAUUUUUUACGAGAAAAAAGUUUGAUUUUUUUUCAAAAAAAUUGUGUAAAAAGUUUUCGAUAAAAAAAUUUUGAAAUUAUUUUGGCAAAAAUUAUUCAAGAAAUAUUUUUUUGAGAAAAAUAAAUAUAAAAAAUUCAAUAAAAGAGUUUGGAUUUUGAAAAGAAAUUGAAAUUUUUUUAGGAAAAAUGUCUUUGAUUUAUUUCCAAAAAAUGAUUUAUUUUCAUUCUUUUUUGAAAAAAAAGUUAAGAUAUUUUCUAUAUUUUUUUUUGAGAAAAACAUUUCGAAAAUUUUAUAAGAAAAAAAAUCUUAAUUGAAGUUAAAAACAUUUUAAAAUUAUUAAACUAGUUUUUAAAUUAAGUUUAGUUAACUUAAUUGUUUUACAUAUGUGAUUUAAUUUAUGAACUAAAUAAAUAAUUUCGUUUUUUUAGUACAAUACAAUCAAAUUAAUUAACUAUAUAUUUUACAUUCCCAUAACAUCUAACCCUACAUUGCAGUUUUAUUUCAAAUAUGAUUUUUGUAUGUUUUAAGACGUGUCUUAAAGUCAUAUGCAUCAAAUUUUGUUAGUGUUAUUUGGGGCAUUUAGAAGCAAAUGAACAAAAAAGACAUUGGAAUAAUCACCUUGACUUGCAAGAUGGUAUAUUUAAUCAAGCAAAUAAACUACUAUCAAAUUAUACAAAGGCAAUUAAAUAGAAAUUGAUAUAUGCAUCAGAGACGAAUCAGGCCAAUUUAUUCCUGCCAAGAGAGAAUGGUUUACGCCUAUUUAUGUUCAUAUACGAGAAGUACUUGAAUUACUAUUAGCGUUGAUUUGGUUCAUUGAUCCCAGCUUGGUCUUGUUGAUCUUGAAUUGGAUUAUGAUCAACUUUGAGUAUCGUAAUGUGAAUGUCAGUAAAUUUGGUGAUAUCAUAUCUAAUUGUUGGCGUACAAUUUUUUUAUUUAUAGAAACUCUUUGUUAAAUUUGUUAAGAGACAAAUAAUUCUUACAAAAGCGCUUACAUCUCUAGUUAGUUUUCAAUUAUUCUGAACUAGAUUGUAUCUAUGAUGCAUAUAUACAUAUAUUGAUGAUAUAUGAUAUUUAAAAAAGAAACAAUGUACGAAUCACGUCAAAGGAAAAAAUAAUUCUUUUAUAUAAUUUAAUUAAAAGAGUUAGACUAUUCAAUUUAUAAUACAAAAUUACAAAUAAAAAUUUAAAAAAUAAAAAAUUGUAUUAACAUAAAAAAAAGGUCAAAAAUUGUAUUUGAUUUAACAACAAAUAUAUUCGACUCACAAAUUUUCCAUAGCAUUGUAUUUGUAUUAAAGCGUAUUAUCAUGAAUGAAAUGAAAUAAUUAUAAAAAAAAAUGAUCGACCAUAUAUUAUUUAAAACCAAUUUAACCAAUGUAAUUAAAGUUCUUUCAAAGAGUUCACAUCUUACAAGAUAUUGCAUCUUAAUACAUAGGUGAGGAUUUGAAUUUCCCACAUAUGGUUAAGAGGCUUAAAAUUGCCACAUUAAUGUUGGUAGAUCACAUAGUAUUAUAUUUUUAUUGUAGAAUAUUAUAAAUGUAAACAGAAUAGAAAGCCUUAAAUUAUAACGCAAAUAUAUAUAUUAUUUUUUGAUUGUAGAGUAUUAUAAAAACAAACAGAAUUGAAAGUCCUUAAUUAUAAAUUAACACAAAAAUAUACUAUGGCAAAACCAAACUUAACAGUAGAUACUUUUGCAACAAAAUAUUUUAUAAAAAAAGAAAAAGAAAAACUUACUAGUAAUAUAUUAGUAAUUAGGAAGCAAGCAUGGAGUGGAUGAUCCAUGACCAUGACUAUAAUUAAUAAUAAGGAGGGCGUGGCGGCGGAGGACCGGGAUGACCAGGCUGCGGAGGCGGUGGGCCGGGAUGACCAUGCCGUGGCGGCGGUGGUGUAUGAUGGAGGUGCACAACCGGCGGUGGCGGUGAUGGAGCGUAAGGAUUUGGAGGAGGGGGUGGAUGGUGGAAGACAGGUGGUGGCGGUGGAGCAAAAGGUUCAGGAGGCGGUGGAGGGUGGUGGGAGUGGGACAUAGGCGGACCUGGAGCGAGUGGUGGCCCCCUUCCGAUGGGAGGUCCUGGUGGUGGUGGAGUAUGCCUAUGGUUGUGAGGGUAACUCAUGGUUUGCUUAAUUAUGAUUUAUUUUUGCAAUGAAUUAAAAACACUAUAGUACUAGUAUCUACCUCAAUAUAAUAUUAUAUAUAGACACAUUUGAUGUGAGGGAGAGGAGAAGCUUCAAAAUAUGAUGACGUUGGGGACUGACUUACAAGUAUGUAUGUAUGGUUGAGAAUUCAUCACAAUGAGACUGGUUGGUGGUUGUUCACAUCUUCUUCUACUGUGCACUUCAUUAUUAAAUAAUUAAUAUAUCGCUAACUUAGACACUAAGCAUAAACAAAAAUAUUAAUUUGCUCUAAUUACUUCUAUUUGUAAAUAAUACAGAGAAGGGAGUAAAUUACGGAUAACACAUGUCGGCUACGGUCUUACAACAUAUUGGAUAACGG